GAUGAACGCUGGCGGCGUGCCUAAUACAUGCAAGUCGAGCGAACAGACGAGGAGCUUGCUCCUCUGACGUUAGCGGCGGACGGGUGAGUAACACGUGGAUAACCUACCUAUAAGACUGGGAUAACUUCGGGAAACCGGAGCUAAUACCGGAUAAUAUAUUGAACCGCAUGGUUCAAUAGUGAAAGACGGUUUUGCUGUCACUUCUAGAUGGAUCCGCGCCGCAUUAGCUAGUUGGUAAGGUAACGGCUUACCAAGGCAACGAUGCGUAGCCGACCUGAGAGGGUGAUCGGCCACACUGGAACUGAGACACGGUCCAGACUCCUACGGGAGGCAGCAGUAGGGAAUCUUCCGAAAUGGGCGAAAGCCUGACGGAGCAACGCCGCGUGAGUGAUGAAGGUCUUCGGAUCGUAAAACUCUGUUAUUAGGGAAGAACAAAUGUGUAAGUAACUAUGCACGUCUUGACGGUACCUAAUCAGAAAGCCACGGCUAACUACGUG
rnacentral:rRNA from 1 species